UACGUAGGGUGCAAGCGUUGUCCGGAAUUACUGGGCGUAAAGCGUGCGCAGGCGGUUUUGUAAGCCAGAUGUGAAAUCCCCGGGCUUAACCUGGGAAUGGCAUUUGGGACUGCAAGGCUGGAGUGUGGCAGAGGAGACUGGAAUUCCUGGUGUAGCAGUGAAAUGCGUAGAUAUCAGGAGGAAUACCGAUGGCGAAGGCAGGUCUCUGGGCUGACACUGACGCUCAUGCACGAAAGCGUGGGGAGCAAACAGG
rnacentral:rRNA from 1 species